rnacentral:ncRNA from 1 species
ACAACGAAGAGUUUGAUCCUGGCUCAGGAUGAACGCUAGCGGCAGGCUUAACACAUGCAAGUCGAGGGGU